GCUAGUGUAGCUUAAUUUAAAGUAUGGCACUGAAGAUGCUAAGAUGAAAAAUGAGAAUUUUCCGCAGGCA
rnacentral:tRNA from 2 species